rnacentral:piRNA from 1 species
UACCGAGGGAAGGCCAAGUAAAAAGGAAGU